GACGAACGCUGGCGGCGUGCUUAACACAUGCAAGUCGAACGGAAAGGCCCUGCUUUUGUGGGGUGCUCGAGUGGCGAACGGGUGAGUAACACGUGAGUAACCUGCCCUUGACUUUGGGAUAACUUCAGGAAACUGGGGCUAAUACCGGAUAGGAGCUCCUGCUGCAUGGUGGGGGUUGGAAAGUUUCGGCGGUUGGGGAUGGACUCGCGGCUUAUCAGCUUGUUGGUGGGGUAGUGGCUUACCAAGGCUUUGACGGGUAGCCGGCCUGAGAGGGUGACCGGCCACAUGGGGACUGAGAUACGGAGCAGACUCCUACGGGAGGCAGCAGUGGGGAAUAUUGCACAAUGGGCGGAAGCCUGAUGCAGCAACGCCGCGUGCGGGAUGACGGCCUUCGGGUUGUAAACCGCUUUCGCCUGUGACGAAGCGUGAGUGACGGUAAUGGGUAAAGAAGCACCGGCUAACUACGUG
rnacentral:rRNA from 1 species